AUUGAACGCUGGCGGCAUGCCUUACACAUGCAAGUCGAACGGCAGCACGGGAGCAAUCCUGGUGGCGAGUGGCGAACGGGUGAGUAAAGUAUCGGAACGUGCCCAGUCGUGGGGGAUAACGUAGCGAAAGUUACGCUAAUACCGCAUACGAUCUAUGGAUGACAGCGGGGUAUCGCAAGACCUCGCGCGAGUGGAGCGGCCGAUAUCAGAUUAGGUAGUUGGUGGGGUAAAGGCUCACCAAGCCGACGAUCUGUAGCUGGUCUGAGAGGACGACCAGCCACACUGGGACUGAGACACGGCCCAGACUCCUACGGGAGGCAGCAGUGGGGAAUUUUGGACAAUGGGCGAAAGCCUGAUCCAGCCAUGCCGCGUGCAGGAUGAAGGCCUUCGGGUUGUAAACUGCUUUUGUACGGAACGAAAAGGUUUGGCCUAAUAAGCUGAGCUCAUGACGGUACCGUAAGAAUAAGCACCGGCUAACUACGUGCCAGCCGCCGCCGUAA
rnacentral:rRNA from 1 species